CUCUGGGUACCCACCUCCGUGAGGGGAGAAGUCCUGGCUGGACACAGCUCUCGGGGGCAACACCCUUGUGACGCCUGCUUCCUCUUCAGAGAUGUAGGUGGCCCCACGUUGCAGGGAGAUCCCAGGUGUGGCGCCCGGACGUGGCCACCUUCAAGCAGAUUUCAACAACUUCAGCCCUCGCAACAGUCCUGUUGGGUCGGUGCUGUCAUCUCCCACUUUGUGGAUGAGAAAACUGUCACUUAAGCUCUUCCCUUAAGAGUUUGUCAGUCAGUCUGUGUGCCACCAGCGCCUGAGGGUCUGAGCACUGGGCCUGGAAGGCGUGAAGCACGCCGCCCCACCCACAGCACCAUGACUGGAAGUUUGUACCAGCUGGUUCUGAUGGUUCAGAGGUGCGUGGCCAGGUGCCCUGGCAGCUCUGGCCUCUCCCCACUGCCUACCAGCAGCGAACACCCCCUGGCUGCGACACCAAAAACGCCCCAGAACUGUGGGAUGUCCUCUGGGGGCCCACGCACCGCUGCUUGAGAACCACUGGCUUGAAGCAGGGGUUCUGGGCCCACACUGUGGAAGUCGCCUCCUGGGGCAGGAGCCAGGGAUACAGAUCAGGAAGCCCCCGAUGACUCCGCCGGCCCCAGCUGCCCUGCCUAGAGGUGGGGCCUUUCUCGGCUCAGGGAGACGAGAGGCUCAGCAGGUCCCUAGACGUCACAAGAGGAGUUGAGCCUGUCUGACUGGCAGGUUCUGGGCAACUUUGUCUGACACAACUCAAGGGAAUGGCUGCUGGGCUCAGCGUGGAAAGACAGUCUGCAAGCGGUGAUCUGGGGAGAAGAGUGGACAGAGGAGCCGCCGCCCAGCCAGCUGAGCGUCCACGUGUGAGUCGGGGGCCUCCCCUUCCUCGUCUGCAACGCGGGUGGGUUGGGGAAUGUGAGUCCUGAAGAUCCUGCAGCCCCGACAAUCUCUCUGCUUCUGCUCUGUCCUUUUGACGUCCCCCCCGCGGUCCCCAAGCACAGACAGCUGUUUGGUCUCCCGAGCACGGCGGGAGGACCGAGUUAGAAUCCACUGUCGACGCUUAGUUGACCCAGAAGCGGAGGGCUGUCCUCCUGGCUGGCGCCCUGCCAGUCUCAUCGGGCGGCUCGCAACAAAGAUCAAAGGGCACGAGUGUACUUGGUUGUUUUCCAGACCACAGUUUGCUCUUCUCUGUCUCAAUCAGCUAAGUGAAAAAUGUAAGAAAAAUGGCCUAAGAAUAGUAGAUCUCAUGUCCUCCCUUUUGGGUCUCCCUCUUGCGAACCACUUUCCUUCAUCAGAAAGGGGGGGGGGCUGUGUAUCUGGAACCAGGAAAGGUGAGUAGGUGUCUUCCUCCUGAUGCUUGUAAACACUGUCGGAGUAAACUGGUCCUGGCCCCAGAGAGGAGGCAAUGCCGCGCUGAUCUCACCGAGAGGCAGGGCCAACAGCAGAUCAAAAUGCCCUGCACCUGCUCUGACACCCGACGCGUCAGCUGCAUUAGGGCGGGAGACCAGCGUCCCAGCAUCACGGCGCCAGCCCAGGGCUUGGGUACCAGCUCCACCCUGUGCUGGAGCUGGAGACCGACAUGAGUCAUGAGACCUCUUAGGGCCCCAGUGUCUCAAUUGUAAACGGGGACGCAUAUAGUAAUGAUAACAACAGCUGCCACUAGAGGCUUGUGGUGAGAGUCGGCGCGAUCGAUCGUAUGCGGGCGGCACUUAGCACGGCGCCUGGGGUUGUGCCACCUUUGCCGGCUUUUGUUUCGUGUUUCUAAAUUUUCCUCCUUUUUCUCUGAUGAGGAAUUAACCAGCUUUUAAAUUUAUUUAUAAAUCUAGCUGCUGUUCUAUUCUAUAACUCACUUUUUCUAUUAUCCUCAUUAAUCCUUUUUUCUGUUUUGCUUCAGUUUUUUAAUUGUUCUUUUUCCAACUUUUUGAGCAAGACGAUGAAUUCAUUUUACUUUCUUUUUCACUGACGUAAAUAUUUAAGUCUAUGAACACGCUUUAUUUAUAGCCCACAAAUUUGAUCUAGUAUUCCCAUUAUUACUGUUUCCCAGAAAUUCUGUAAUUUCGCUUUGUAUUUCCCUCUGACCCAAAAGUUGAUUAAUAGGGAAUUAUAAAACUUUCAGGUGAUGUUAUCAACCUCCAGUUUUAUUUCACAAUGAUUAAAAAUAUUGUCUACAUUAUUUUGAAAUUAGUUGAAAUUAUUUUGUGGCUUACAACUUGGCCAAUUUUUGUGAAUAAAGCUAGCACAGAAAUGGGAUAUUCUAAUAGACUCUUCUCUUAAACUCUUUACAAUGCAUGCGACUGUCGAAAUCAAGCACCCUCACAUCUCCCGGAUUGACUGAUUUAUUAUGAAGGCACCAAGGUGGUUGUGAGGCUUCUGCAGUUACCAUGGAAUGGCAGAAUACUAACUGGAUGCAGACCAUGAGCUGUUGGGGACGCUCGCUGUAAUCUCUGGAGCAACUGCUAAUAAAAUAACACAAAAAGAUGAAGCCAAAAGGACAAGAGAGCAUUUAAAAUGGAAUACUAAGCAAAUACUCCACUUACUUGAAGGAGGCAGGAAAAGGGGACACAGCCAGAGAGGACAAACAGAAUCUCCUGCAAAUCAUGUGCUUCUGCUGACCUGCCUCGUGUCUUCCGUCAUCUCUGCUUUUUGAAAGUUUUGUAAUACCGAGUGUGUUGAUGUUCACGAUUGUUACAUCUUUGCUGUAAAUUAUAAUGCUAAAGGCCUCAAA